AACGAACGCUGGCGGCAGGCCUAACACAUGCAAGUCGAGCGCGCCCUUCGGGGUUAGCGGCGGACGGGUGAGUAACGCGUGGGAACGUGCCCUUUUCUACGGAAUAGCCUCGGUAAACUGAGAUUAAUACCGUAUACGCCCUUUGGGGGAAAGAUUUAUCGGAAAAGGAUCGGCCCGCGUUGGAUUAGGUAGUUGGUGGGGUAAUGGCCUACCAAGCCGACGAUCCAUAGCUGGUUUGAGAGGAUGAUCAGCCACACUGGGACUGAGACACGGCCCAGACUCCUACGGGAGGCAGCAGUGGGGAAUCUUAGACAAUGGGGGCAACCCUGAUCUAGCCAUGCCGCGUGAGUGAUGAAGGCCUUAGGGUUGUAAAGCUCUUUCAGCUGGGAAGAUAAUGACGGUACCAGCAGAAGAAGCCCCGGCUAACUCCGUG
rnacentral:rRNA from 1 species